rnacentral:rRNA from 1 species
ACGGGUGAGUAAAGUAUCGGAACGUACCUUUCAGUGGGGGAUAACGUAGCGAAAGUUACGCUAAUACCGCAUAUUCUGUGAGCAGGAAAGCAGGGGAUCGCAAGACCUUGCGCUGAUUGAGCGGCCGAUAUCAGAUUAGCUAGUUGGUGAGGUAAAGGCUCACCAAGGCGACGAUCUGUAGCGGGUCUGAGAGGAUGAUCCGCCACACUGGAACUGAGACACGGUCCAGACUCCUACGGGAGGCAGCAGUGGGGAAUUUUGGACAAUGGGGGCAACCCUGAUCCAGCCAUGCCGCGUGAGUGAAGAAGGCCUUCGGGUUGUAAAGCUCUUUCGGCCGGGAAGAAAUCGCAUGGGUUAAUACCCUGUGCGGAUGACGGUACCGGCAUAAGAAGCACCGGCUAACUACGUGCCAGCAGCCGCGGUAAUACGUAGGGUGCGAGCGUUAAUCGGAAUUACUGGGCGUAAAGCGUGCGCAGGCGGUUUGUUAAGACAGGCGUGAAAUCCCCGGGCUCAACCUGGGAACUGCGCUUGUGACUGGCAGGCUAGAGUACGGCAGAGGGGGGUGGAAUUCCACGUGUAGCAGUGAA